UACGUAGGGGGGCUAGCGUUGUCCGGAUUUAUUGGGCGUAAAGAGCGUGUAGGCGGCCAGGUAGGUCUGCUGUGAAAACUCGAGGCUCAACCUCGAGAUGUCGGCGGAAACCAUCUGGCUAGAGUCCGGAAGAGGAGAGUGGAAUUCCUGGUGUAGCGGUGAAAUGCGCAGAUAUCAGGAAGAACACCCGUGGCGAAGGCGGCUCUCUGGGACGGUACUGACGCUGAGACGCGAAAGCGUGGGGAGCGAACAGG
rnacentral:rRNA from 1 species